rnacentral:rRNA from 1 species
UGGGGAAUAUUGGACAAUGGGGGGAACCCUGAUCCAGCCAUGCCGCGUGUGUGAAGAAGGCCUUUUGGUUGUAAAGCACUUUAAGCGAGGAGGAGGCUUACCUGGUUAAUACCUAGGAUAAGUGGACGUUACUCGCAGAAUAAGCACCGCGCUA